AAUCAACACCCCCUCCCCCUCUGCUGCCCUGGUGCCAAGUAGCCAACACACGGCGAGGGAUGGGACCCGAGGGGAUUGCACUGGAACCACAGGGACAGGGGACGGGGUAUUGCAGGUGACGCUGCUCCGGCUGCCAAGCCUGACAGCCACAGGGGCACCCGCCAGUGAGCAGAGGCUUUCGCAAAGCAAAGUGCGUAGGGGCUGGAGCGAUGAGCAGACCAAGGGGCGGUAAAGAGGCAGCGUGGAGAGCUGCAGCCUGGAAAGCAGGUGCAUGGUGCACACAAGGAGCAGGCAGAUUACAAAUCAGGAUGGACAACACGGAGUCCAGAGUUUUCCCAACCCCUGGAAAAGUGAACAAGAAAUAUGCUCCUCCAAGAAGUAGUUGCAGUUGGAAGCAUACCACAGAAGAAACAGAACUCCCCUAACCAAGAGAUCUAACAAUGCAAAUGGAAAGAAAGAUUCUCUCUUUUGUAUUAUGCCAGAUGAAAGAGAUGGACAAGCACACUUUAAAAGACCACAAUACAGAGGCAGGAGAAGCUGGAAGCAAAGAGGAAAGCCAGCAUCAUAUGAUCUGCCAGAUCUUCUACCUCGCAAGCAAGUGUUCCACAGGUCACCAGUAGCUUUCAGGUCACAGUUUGAAAGGCUCUGGUUUAAGGUAUAUAGAUGUGGAAUUUCCCUGUGCCAUACCUGAGGGAUGUGCAGUUUCAAAUCUGGGUGGAACCAGAAGAAUUUGUGAAGUUGAGUUGUUUUGACUGAAGUCAUGAAAAUUCUGGAUUGAAGAUCUGAAUCUAUAAUCUUAAAAAGAAGGUUGGCAAGCAAGAGCCUGCAUUGCAUCAGUAGAAGGGAUUUCAGGUGACUCCUCCUGAAUGAGAUUACGGCUUUCACUGUUGCCUUUUUUGCUAUACUGCAAUCUCCUGGAAUGAUCACACUAGACCUAUUAUCUUCUGAAGUGGGGAUGAUGGACGCUAACCUCAGCUGGAAUUAUGUCUUUUUGGAAGACGUUCAGUGAGAUCGCUAACAUUUUCAAGUAAGAAGGUCAAUUAUCCUCCUUCCAAAUGGAUUCAGUUUCCACUAAUCAUUCUUUUCUGAGAAAACCACAUUUUCUUUCCUUGUUCUCUACAUCACCUUUGUCCAUUCAACAGCCCUAAACAAUAACCUUCUUCUGAUCAACAUCUCCACUACAGAAGAUGCCUUUGAUUCUCUUAGAAAGACAGUCACAUCCUAUAGACUGCCUCCUCAAUCUUCUGCUGUAUCGAAAAGAGGAUAGAUCCAGCUGCUGCAGAUGCAUAAACAAAGAGCAUUGAACUCCUAUUUAUUUUUCCUGACUGCUUCCUCAGUCUGCUCUCAGUUUGAAUCUUUUUUGAAGGCUAUGGGUUAAGAAGUUGUGCUGAUGUGUUUGUGUAAUCUUCCUUCCCUCUCUCCUCUUGGUGUCUGAUCUUUCUUAGCUGCUUUUGAUAAGAUGUUCUAUCACCUCUAGCGAUAGACUGCCAGAUUAAAUCAGUAGAGGCGAAACUAAAUGACUAGCUUCCUUUUACAAACUUACGUCACGUGGAAUAAAUACAGGUUUUACAUUUAUGCAAAUUAAAUAAAUCACAUGAUUCUACUAAACCUUUUUGUGGAAAUAUUUAUAUAUUUCUCAACUGAUACUUAACUCAUAUAGAUAAGGCUAGUCUUAAUAUGUAACUAGAAGGCACAAGGUGUGCCACUAGAAUUUCAUAACUGGGUUUGGAAGAGGAGAAGAAAUACUGGAAAAUCUGCUUCUCUCUCACUUACAUGCCAAGUCCUGAGCACAUGAAUGGCUCUCCACCCCAUAAGUGGUGACAUCUUAAACACUAUUAACAGUGCUGGGAGUUGGCUAGAGAACCCUCAUUAGGGCUUGCAUGAGGUCACACACCUAAUUACUGGCAGAGCUCGACUAAAACCCAAGACUCAACUGCCCAGGGGACCAUACUGCCUCCGAUUGAGUCAUAAAUCACUGAUUGAUGGCGUUAUCUUAACUGUAUUAUGGCAGCUUAAAUAUUCAUAUGAAUUUAGAAAAAUGGCGGUUAAUAAAAAGAUAUAAACCUACAUUAUUUAGGUGGGGGUGGGGGGUUAAGUAUAAAACCUCUGCAAACAGAAAUACAAGACAUUUUAUUGAGGAGAAUAAAAACAGACAGCUAGAGCUGGAAACAGAAAUUUCAUCAACAAAGAUUUACUUUCCUUCAUUCCUGGAUUCUAGUAGAUAGAGCAUUAGAAGACACAAGAAACCGGUGCAAGGUAUAGAUUCCCCAUUAGAAGUUUUUAAGCAAACAUGUCUGAGCCUAGAAAAUGUAGUCGGCAAGACCUUUCUGUAGAUUUUCAGUCAGGCAGUGGGAAGAAAUUAAUCACAAUGCCAAAAUAAACAUUUUACUCAGCAAUAUUGUGAAGUGAUUAUAGGGGAUUUAUCACCAUUUUUCAUAUAAUGGCAUACAUUAAUUGUCAGGGCAUUUUUAGUGUGGGGGCCCUUAGCUCCACAGCUUGCUUACCAGCCAUUGGUCUACCACAUCUUGAGUUUAUUGACCCAUAAAAUGAGCUGGGCAUAUAUUUAUAGUAUAGUAUGUAGUGUAAUGAUAAAAAAGUCUUUCAAUCUUGACAUCAAGUUAUGUAUAUACAUUUUAAAUGUUCAGCAUGCAAAGACUACACGAUGGGUACAUUCCUAAAUUAAUAAAAAUAAGGGGAAACUUUGAUGAAUACAAAGAUGCCUCAGUCAAUAUUUGCAUCUGUCAGUAAAUCUUGAAAGUCAACAUCUGUUUAUUCAUAUAACAGUUACAUACUAGUUUAUUUAAUACUUGCUAGUAACAGUUCUCUGUUUUUCCAUAGAGUUUUUGAAACUUAACAAUAUCAUUCACAUGAAGCUCUCCAAAGCCAUCUUUGAGCCAUCUACCCAUCCUUCCAACUAGUUUCUUUCUGUGCCAAGAGUUGGGCUCCAUGAGUCCUGAAUUCUCUGAAAAUGGGUGUGUGUGUGUGUGUGUGUGUGUGUGUGAGAGAGAGAGAAAAGCUGCGCUUGGUUAAGAACAAAAAUAUUUUACCUGGCCAAUGUAACUGUUUCAGUGUCAUGUGCGUUUAUUUUAUUUUUUUUAUUUUAUUUUAUUUUAUUUUAUUUUAACUUUAUUGCAGUUUGAACUGGUGGAACAACUUGACUUUUUUAACUAACGAGACUUAUCUGUAGGCUUU